rnacentral:rRNA from 1 species
GAUGAACGCUGGCGGCGUGCUUAACACAUGCAAGUCGAACGGUGAAGCCCAGCUUGCUGGGUGGAUCAGUGGCGAACGGGUGAGUAACACGUGAGCAAUCUGCCCCAGACUCUGGGAUAAGCGCUGGAAACGGCGUCUAAUACUGGAUACGAACCGUGGAGGCAUCUUCAACGGUUGGAAAGAUUUUUUGGUCAGGGAUGAGCUCGCGGCCUAUCAGCUUGUUGGUGAGGUAAUGGCUCACCAAGGCGUCGACGGGUAGCCGGCCUGAGAGGGUGACCGGCCACAAUGGGACUGAGACACGGCCCAGACUCCUAUGGGAGACAGCAGUGGGGAAUAUUGCACAAUGGGCGAAAGCCUGAUGCAGCAACGCCGCGUGAGGGAUGACGGCCUUCGGGUUGUAAACCUCUUUUAGCAGGGAAGAAGCGAAAGUGACGGUACCUGCAGAAAAAGCGCCGGCUAACUACGUGCCAGCAGCCGCAGUAAUAC